rnacentral:rRNA from 1 species
UACGUAGGGGGCAAGCGUUGUCCGGAUUUAUUGGGCGUAAAGAGCGUGUAGGCGGUUUGGUAGGUCCGUUGUGAAAACUCGAGGCUCAACCUCGAGACGCCGAUGGAAACCAUCAGACUAGAGUCCGGAAGAGGAGAGUGGAAUUCCAUGUGUAGCGGUGAAAUGCGUAGAGAUAUGGAGGAACACCAGUGGCGAAGGCGACUUUCUGGUCUGUAACUGACACUGAGGCGCGAAAGCGUGGGGAGCAAACAGG